rnacentral:rRNA from 1 species
GACGAACGCUGGCGGCGUGCUUAACACAUGCAAGUCGAACGGAAAGGCCCUGCUUGCAGGGUACUCGAGUGGCGAACGGGUGAGUAACACGUGGGUGAUCUGCCCUGCACUUCGGGAUAAGCCUUGGAAACUGGGUCUAAUACCGGAUAGAAGCCAUUUUGAGUGUGAUGGUUGGAAAGUUUUUUCGGUGUCGGAUGAGCUCGCGGCCUAUCCGCUUGUUGGUGGGGUAAUGGCCUACCAAGGAGGCGGCGGGUAGCCGGCCUGGGAGGGUGGACGGCCACAUUGGGACUGAGAUACGGCCCAGGCUCCUACGGGAGGCAGCAGUGGGGAAUAUUGCACAAUGGGGGCGAGCCCGAUGCAGCGACGCCGCGUGGGGGAUGACGGCCUUCGGGUUGUAAACUCCUUUCGCUAGGGACGAAGCUUUUUGUGACGGUACCUAGAUAAGAAGCACCGGCUAACUACGUG